ACCUGACUGCUAUCGGAUUGAUACUAAGCCAUGCGAGUCAUUGUANCAAUACAAGGCAUACGGCUCAGUAACGCGUAGUCAACCUAACCUAUGGACGGGAAUAACCUCGGGAAACUGAGAAUAAUGCCCGAUAGAACACUAUACCUGGAAUGGUUUGUGUUCCAAAUGAUUUAUCGCCAUAGGAUGGGACUGCGGCCUAUCAGUUUGUUGGUGAGGUAAUGGCCCACCAAGACUAUUACAGGUACGGGCUCUGAGAGGAGUAGCCCGGAGAUGGGUACUGAGACACGGACCCAGGCCCUAUGGGGCGCAGCAGGCGAGAAAACUUUGCAAUGUGCGAAAGCACGACAAGGUUAAUCCGAGUGAUUUGUGCUAAACGAAUCUUUUGUUAGUCCUAGAAACACUAACGAAUAAGGGGUGGGCAAGUUCUGGUGUCAGCCGCCGCGGUAAAACCAGCACCUCAAGUGGUCAGGAUGAUUAUUGGGCCUAAAGCAUCCGUAGCCGGCUCUGUAAGUUUUCGGUUAAAUCUGUACGCUUAACGUACAGGCUGCCGGGAAUACUGCAGAGCUAGGGAGUGGGAGAGGUAGACGGUACUCGGUAGGAAGUGGUAAAAUGCUUUGAUCUAUCGAUGACCACCUGUGGCGAAGGCGGUCUACCAGAACACGUCCGACGGUGAGGGAUGAAAGCUGGGGGAGCAAACCGGAUUAGAUACCCGGGUAGUCCCAGCUGUAAACUAUGCAAACUCAGUGAUGCAUUGGCUUGUGGCCAAUGCAGUGCUGCAGGGAAGCCGUUAAGUUUGCCGCCUGGGAAGUACGUACGCAAGUAUGAAACUUAAAGGAAUUGGCGGGGGAGCACCACAAGGGGUGAAGCCUGCGGUUC
rnacentral:rRNA from 1 species